UACGGAGGGGGCAAGCGUUGUUCGGAAUUACUGGGCGUAAAGGGCGCGCAGGCGGCUGCUCAAGUCAGGCGUGAAAGGCCUGGGCUCAACCCGGGAAUUGCGCUUGAGACUGGGCUGGCUUGAGUGCGGGAGAGGAUGGUGGAAUUCCCAGUGUAGAGGUGAAAUUCGUAGAUAUUGGGAAGAACACCGGUGGCGAAGGCGGCAUCCUGGACCGGCAUUGACGCUGAGGAGCGAAAGCCAGGGGAGCAAACGGG
rnacentral:rRNA from 1 species